rnacentral:rRNA from 1 species
AUUGAACGCUGGCGGCAGGCCUAACACAUGCAAGUCGGGCGAACGAGGCUUCGGCCAAGUGAGCGGCGAACGGGUGCGUAACACGUAGGAAUCUGCCUGGUAGUGGGGGACAACGUCUCGAAAGGGACGCUAAUACCGCAUACGCCCUACGGGGGAAAGCGGGGGCUCUUCGGACCUUGCGCUAUCAGAUGAGCCUGCGUCGGAUUAGCUAGUUGGUAGGGUAAAGGCCUACCAAGGCGACGAUCCGUAACUGGUCUGAGAGGAUGAUCAGUCACACCGGAACUGAGACACGGUCCGGACUCCUACGGGAGGCAGCAGUGGGGAAUAUUGGACAAUGGGGGCAACCCUGAUCCAGCCAUGCCGCGUGUGUGAAGAAGGCCUUCGGGUUGUAAAGCACUUUAGGUCGGGAGGAAGGUUCGCUGGCUAAUAUCCAGCGGAAUUGACGUUACCGACAGAAUAAGCACCGGCUAACUCCGUGCCAGCCGCCGCGGUAA